AUUGAACGCUGGCGGCAUGCCUUACACAUGCAAGUCGAACGGCAGCACGGGUGCUUGCACCUGGUGGCGAGUGGCGAACGGGUGAGUAAUACAUCGGAACAUGUCCUGUAGUGGGGGAUAGCCCGGCGAAAGCCGGAUUAAUACCGCAUACGAUCCACGGGUGAAAGCGGGGGACCUUCGGGCCUCGCGCUAUAGGGUUGGCCGAUGGCUGAUUAGCUAGUUGGUGGGGUAAAGGCCUACCAAGGCGACGAUCAGUAGCUGGUCUGAGAGGACGACCAGCCACACUGGGACUGAGACACGGCCCAGACUCCUACGGGAGGCAGCAGUGGGGAAUUUUGGACAAUGGGCGAAAGCCUGAUCCAGCAAUGCCGCGUGUGUGAAGAAGGCCUUCGGGUUGUAAAGCACUUUUGUCCGGAAAGAAAUCCUUGACUCUAAUACAGUCGGGGGAUGACGGUACCGGAAGAAUAAGCACCGGCUAACUACGUG
rnacentral:rRNA from 1 species